UUGCCAACUCCAAUUUGGCAUGCACAUUCCAAUUUUAGAAAAAUAAUUUCCUUCUGAAAAGCAACUAGGAUUUUGUUAUCUUCUACACCUCUGUAUAAGACUGCCUGAUUAGAUGAUAGCUACUUUUUCUUUCAUUAAUCAUGCUGAGCCAACAAAACUCUGGGAUUCCUGCACUGAAGAGAUUACUCUAUAUACACAUGUAUAAGUCUAGAAAUGGAAACAGGCCUAGAAGCAAUGGGAUGUGACUUGUGCAAAAGCAGAUUUAAGCUGGAAGUUUUCUGGCAGUAUCAGAACUGGAGGAUGAAGAAGAAAAGAUGGAGAAACACAAGCUUUUGGAGUCAGGUUGCGGUUGUGGGUCAGCAGUAAACAAUGGUAUAAAGUUUAAGCUAGAAAAUAGUGUGAUUUGGUAGUAGUUGUGUAUUUCUGCCUUCAACAGGCAAGAAAAGCAGCUGUGUGUGGCAUCUCUUAAUGAGUACAUGUGAACAGUGUUGCAGAGUGAAAAGAGGGUAGCAAAUAAGCCUCGCUUUCUGGUUCCUCCCACUAUGAUAAAAAGCAUGUCCAUAUGUUUUUGUUCAUUUAUAAAAUCCUUAACUGAUCUGUCUGUUUCAUUGCAAAUGUGUAUUUGCUAAUUGUGAAACUAAAGUUUGCUGAAGUGUGUUAAAUUGCUCUUUUUUUUUUUUUUUUUGGUUAUGGACUCAUUCUUUCCAUGUUAUGUUUGCCUCUGGUACCAUACUUUCUGCUAAAGACGUACUGUAAAUACUCAUGUAUAAGAUCUCAAGUGUAAGUCGAGGGUACAUUUUGGAGCCAAUAUCAUGGAUUUUGAAUGACCCAGGGAUAAGUCGACGGUCAGUCCAUGCAGAGGGGAAAGCGCCAGCACUGCCUCAGGUGGCCAGCCACCUCUUGCCACUGACAUCAUUUUCUUGCCCAGGAACUCCAAAAGGCCAGAAGCAAUGCUUCAGCUGACAAAGUAGAAGGGGACAGUGCUUCUUUUAACUCCUCUCAGGAUUAAUUAAGCUCUUAUUUUUCCGCCACUCUACUUGAAGAAGGGAAUGGUUCCUUCUGAUGAUACAAUGCUUACAUUGAUCUGUGGAUAACUUGGCCUAAGUUUUUGAGGUUACGUUUUUUAAUAAAAUCUCUGGACUUAUAUACAAGUACAGUAGAGUCUAACUUAUCCAAGCUAAACGGGCCGGCAGAAGCUUGGAUAAGCAAAUAACUUGGAUAAUAAGGAGGAAUUAAGGAAAAGCCUAUUAAACAUCAAAUUAGGUUAUGAUUUUACAAAUUAAGCACCAAAACAUCAUGUUAUACAACAAAUUUGACAGAAAAAGUAGUUCAAUACGCAGUAAUGUUAUGUUGUAAUUACUGUAUUUACGAAUUUAGCACCAAAAUAUCACGAUAUAUUGAAAACAUUGACUACAAAAAUGGCUUGGAUUAUCCAGAGGCUUGGAUAAGCGAGGCUUGGAUAAGUGAGACUCUACUGUAUAUAGGGUAAUACCUUUGAACUUUAUUAACUAAGGUAUACCUGUAUAUCACUUUAGAGCACUGAAUGAAACUAUGAAGCAUUUUGGAAGAUUUGGGGCAUGUACU